GAUGAACGCUGGCGGCGUGCCUAAUACAUGCAAGUCGAGCGAACGGACGAGAAGCUUGCUUCUCUGAUGUUAGCGGCGGACGGGUGAGUAACACGUGGAUAACCUACCUAUAAGACUGGGAUAACUUCGGGAAACCGGAGCUAAUACCGGAUAAUAUUUUGAACCGCAUGGUUCAAAAGUGAAAGACGGUCUUGCUGUCACUUAUAGAUGGAUCCGCGCUGCAUUAGCUAGUUGGUAAGGUAACGGCUUACCAAGGCAACGAUGCAUAGCCGACCUGAGAGGGUGAUCGGCCACACUGGAACUGAGACACGGUCCAGACUCCUACGGGAGGCAGCAGUAGGGAAUCUUCCGCAAUGGGCGAAAGCCUGACGGAGCAACGCCGCGUGAGUGAUGAAGGUCUUCGGAUCGUAAAACUCUGUUAUUAGGGAAGAACAUAUGUGUAAGUAACUGUGCACAUCUUGACGGUACCUAAUCAGAAAGCCACGGCUAACUACGUGCCAGCAGCCGCGGUAAUACGUAGGUGGCAAGCGUUAUCCGGAAUUAUUGGGCGUAAAGCGCGCGUAGGCGGUUUUUUAAGUCUGAUGUGAAAGCCCACGGCUCAACCGUGGAGGGUCAUUGGAAACUGGAAAACUUGAGUGCAGAAGAGGAAAGUGGAAUUCCAUGUGUAGCGGUGAAAUGCGCAGAGAUAUGGAGGAACACCAGUGGCGAAGGCGACUUUCUGGUCUGUAACUGACGCUGAUGUGCGAAAGCGUGGGGAUCAAACAGGAUUAGAUACCCUGGUAGUCCACGCCGUAAACGAUGAGUGCUAAGUGUUAGGGGGUUUCCGCCCCUUAGUGCUGCAGCUAACGCAUUAAGCACUCCGCCUGGGGAGUACGACCGCAAGGUUGAAACUCAAAGGAAUUGACGGGGACCCGCACAAGCGGUGGAGCAUGUGGUUUAAUUCGAGGCAACGCGAAGAACCUUACCAAAUCUUGACAUCCUUUGACAACUCUAGAGAUAGAGCUUUCCCCUUCGGGGGACAAAGUGACAGGUGGUGCAUGGUUGUCGUCAGCUCGUGUCGUGAGAUGUUGGGUUAAGUCCCGCAACGAGCGCAACCCUUAAGCUUAGUUGCCAUCAUUAAGUUGGGCACUCUAAGUUGACUGCCGGUGACAAACCGGAGGAAGGUGGGGAUGACGUCAAAUCAUCAUGCCCCUUAUGAUUUGGGCUACACACGUGCUACAAUGGACAAUACAAAGGGCAGCGAAACCGCGAGGUCAAGCAAAUCCCAUAAAGUUGUUCUCAGUUCGGAUUGUAGUCUGCAACUCGACUACAUGAAGCUGGAAUCGCUAGUAAUCGUAGAUCAGCAUGCUACGGUGAAUACGUUCCCGGGUCU
rnacentral:rRNA from 1 species